AAUUGAACUCAGGACCUCUGGAAGAACAGUCAGUGAUCUUAACCUCUGAGCUAUCUCUCCAGCCUGAGGCUAGUUUUGUUAUAAGAGAAACAAUAAAAGGUAAAAUAAAAGGCUAGGUGCAGUGAUACAUGCCUUUAGAUAUAGCACUCCAGAGGCAGAGGCAGGCAGAUUUCUGACUUUGAGGCCAUCCUAGGUUUUAUUGCCAAUCAACUAAGGCCAGCCAGGACAACAGAGAGUGACCCUAGGUCUCAUAUUAAGCAGUCAAAAUAACUAAAAUUGAGCUUGUAAAGGCAAAGAAGACCCUUAAAACUCUUGUCAGAAUACAGAAUCACAGGAAAAACUGCACUGCCUCUGGACCAGAAAGUUGGAGGAGGUUUUGCAGUCCCCGCCAAUGCUACUGCUCCCUUGUCCUAUGUGAAACAGGGACACUGAAAGCUUACAUCACAGAACUAUGGCAUACAGUGAAUUUGAAAGUGAAUACUGCCGAUGUGCACUCACAACACCAGAUCAGACACUUGCGGGACAACUGAAGAAAGUCUCUUCUAUGCCCAGAAAAAGAUGUGGGAAGCUGAGAGUUGAAGCAAGGUCUCAUGAAGAUGUGGCUGGACUAUACCUCACUAUAUAGCUGAAGCUGUCCUUAGAUUCAUGAUCCUCCUGCUUCUAUCUCCCAAGUGCUGACAAUCCGGGCAUUAGCUAACACAAUUCUCUCACGUAAGUUCAUUCUUAUACAACUGAAAUUUGCCAAAUCAAAAGAAACACGGCAGGGGAGAAAAUAUUGUACAGUUCUUUUCCAAGUGGGAUAUGGUAGGAGCUUUCAAAGUUUGAGAGCUACUAGUGGAAUGUCUACAUGGAAGUCCCAUAUAUAUUUUGCAGAAAAUAUAGAAUCCUGGCUUCCAUAGCAGAUCCAAGACAUCAGGAUCUCUUCUGAUUUGACAUUUCUUCUACUGUUAGUUCAUUUUAACGAAUUUUAUUAAAUCCAUUCAUUUUGGGGUGGUGUGCGCGUGUGUCUGUGAUGUACUUGUGGAGGUGAGAGGACAGUUUCCAGUAGUUGUCUCUCUCCUUCCACCAUGUGACCAGUGGGCAUUGAACAGGUUCCUUUAUUUGCUGACUCAUCUCUCCAGCCCUCAUUUUCAUGUUUCAUAAAAUAGAUACAAACACUAAAACAAAACCACCAACGGUGCAAAAGAGUUUAUUAUUAAUAAACACUGCAGUCUGUAUUGCCAGUUGAUAUACCCACUGCUUUAGACAUGUUUGGCUUCUGAUACCUAUCAUCAUUUAUUUUUUAGUGUGCAUGUGUUAAUACUUUAACAGAUUUGGUGAAACAUUAUUCACAGAUCCCCAAAUCUAUCCACUUAAGUGCACAACAAAGUACUUUUUACUAUGUUAGCAGAGUUCUGAAACUAUCACAUUAUCUAGUUCUAAAUUAGAUAUUUUCAUCACCCUCAAAAGAAACCUUAGACGUGUUGACACUGUGCCUAUUCCGUGUCUCUAGCAUCUGGUAAGCAGUGAUCCCUUUUCUGUCUCUACGGAUUUGUCCAGUCACAUAAAUAGAAUCACACACUACAUGGCUUGUUGUAUCUGGAUUCUUUAGCUUGUCAUAAUGUUACAGCAUCUAUUAUCACUAAAUAUCUGUAGCUAAGGUUUUGCUUCAAAAUGGUUUUUUGUUUUGUUUUUGUUUUCUUGGGCAUAUUCUUAGGAGACAAAUUUUUAAAGUCUAUAAUAACUUGGUAUGAUUUUUGAAGAACUGCCAAAUUGUUUUCUGAAACAACUGUGGCACUAGACAAUCCUACUGGCAGUGCACCAGGGUUCCAAUUUCUCAAUAUCUUUGUUGACACAAUUUUAUUAUAGCAAUCUUAUUUCAUUAAAAAGCAGCAGCUCAUAAAGAUUUUAAUCUAAACUUUGCUAAUGGCUAACAGCCUUUAGCAUUGUGUGGUACUUUUAUUGAUUAUUUAUAUACCUUCUGAGGAGAAACGUGGAUCCACCUGCUUCUGACUUCCAAGUACUGGGAUUAAAGGCAGGCACUACUACAGAUGGCUAAUUUUUCAGGUUUUAAAAUUAGAUUGAUAGUCAUUUUUAUUGUUGAGUUGAAAUAACUCCUUGUCUAGCAGAGACAAGUCCCUUAUCGGAUAAAUAAUUUGCAAGCAUUAUUUCUUAACUUGCUAAGUAUAGCCAUUCUCUGCGGACCUUCUGAUAUGAUAAUGGAGUAUAUUCUGCCUUACCAAAUGUGUUAGUCAGCUUUCCUGUGCCAUAAUAAAUGUCUGAGAGAAAUAAACUUAAAAAGAGCAAAAGUUAUGGUUGGGGAGGUUGAAAACACUGGCUAUCCUUCCAAAGGACCUGGGAUGGAUUCCCUACUGCCAUAUGCUGGGAGCCAUCUGUAACUCUAAUUCCAGGGGUGGGGGGAUCUGACACCUUCUUCUUGUCCCUGAGAGAACUGCACACACGUAAUACACUUGAACACAAGCAGGCAAGACACCUUUAUACAUAAAAUAAAAUAUUAAGAGAGAAAGAGGUAUGUGGGGGACACCAAGGAUAUGGGUAGAUAACUCCAAUGCUAAAGUGCUAGAUGUACAAGUAUAAAGACCUGAGUUCAGAUUCCCAGCAACAUAAAUGCCAGGAGUGGUGGUGCACAUCUGCAACUCUAGAAUUAGACAGGUGUGGGUGGUGGUAGGUGUGAAAUGGGUAGAUCCCUGGAGUUUUCUGGACAUUCAUUCUAGUUAAUCCAUGAACUUCAGAACCUGUCACAAAGAAUAAAGAGGAAGAAUUGGAGAAAUGGCUUAGUGGUUGGAAGAGCUUGCUGCUCUUGCAGAGUUGUGGUUCACAGAGCCCAUACUGUAUGGCUCACAACCACCUUUAAUUCCAACUCUAGAGGAUCUGGCACCCUCUUCUGGCCUCUGUGGGUACUGCAUAGAUGUGGUGUGGGUAAAGACAAUACACCAAGUAGUAGUGGCACACGCCUUUAAUUCCAGUGUACUUGGGACACAGAGGUAAUCAGAUCUGUAUGAGUUUGAGGCCAGCUUUAUCUAUAGAGUUCCAAUACAGCUAGGGCUACACAGAGAAACCCUGUCUCAAAAAAAUGAAUGAAUGAAUGAAUGAAUGAAAUAAAAGGAGGCUGGGGAGACUCCUAAUUGAUUAAGGAGCCCUUGGUGCUCUUCUACUGGAUCCAGAUUCAAUUUCCAGCACUCACAAAGCAGAUCAAAAUUGUCUGUAACUCCAGUGCCAGGUAACAUGACUCCUUCUUCUGUCCUCUAUGGACACCAAGCACACAUGUAAUGCAGAAAAAACACUCAUACACAAAUAAAACAUAAUCAUAAAUACAAAAAUAAAAUAGUAAUAUAUAUAUAUAUAUAUAUAUAUGAAUAAAAUAAGGUAGAUACCUAAUGUCAUCCUCUGGUCUGUCUCUGUCUCUGUCUGUCUCUGUCUGUCUGUCUGUCUGUCUCUCUCUCUGUCUCUCAGACACACACACACACACACACACACACACACACAGCUUCCUCUAGUAUCUCAGGGACAUAGCUUAUGAUGCUAGUGUAGUAUCAGGUAGUAAGAAUCCCUAUGAGGCAGGAUAAAAAGACAGGAAAAAUAGGAGGACAUGUGAAGGGAAAGUUCUUCAUCUUGGGAUCCCGUUUUCAUUUCUUGCUGACUAAGAGUCAAAAGUUUCUGCACAACUGGUGAAAUCAAAACUGCUAUGAAGACUGUCUACAUGAACAAUAACAAAAGAAGAUAAAUGGUUUACACAAAGUCACAUGCAGGUAAAUACAUAAGGAAGAGGGAGAAGGGGAGGAUGGGACUCCAUCUAAGGACCAGAAGAGAGGUAAAUACAGAAGAAGGAACAAGAAGAUGUGCUCCUGGAAAGGUGGUGCAGAAAUUGUGCGAGUGGACAAGUGACUGAUCAAGCUUGAGACCCGUGCCGCAAGAGGGAGCCCACCCCUGACUCUGCUUGGAGGUCCAAGAACAAGACAGAGAUUGGAUAGCCCACAGGCUUAGGAUUUAUCCUAGCAAGAGAGAGGGGGGAGGGAAGGAGAGAGAGGGAGAGAGAAGGAGAAGGGGGAAGAGAGAGAGAGGG